AUUGAACGCUGGCGGCAGGCCUAACACAUGCAAGUCGAACGAGCGGCGGACGGGUGAGUAAUGUCUGGGGAACUGCCUGAUCGAGGGGGAUAACUACUGGAAACGGUAGCUAAUACCGCAUACUAUCGGAUGUGCCCACAUGGGAUUAGCUAGUAGGUGGGGUAAAGGCUCACCUAGGCGACGAUCCCUAGCUGGUCUGAGAGGAUGACCAGCCACACUGGGACUGAGACACGGUCCAGACUCCUACGGGAGGCAGCAGUGGGGAAUAUUGCACAAUGGGCGCAAGCCUGAUGCAGCCAUGCCGCGUGUAUGAAGAAGGCCUUCGGGUUGUAAAGUACUUUCAGCGGGGAGGCGUUACCCGCAGAAGAAGCACCGGCUAACUCCGUGCCAGCAGCCGCGGUAAUUC
rnacentral:rRNA from 1 species